rnacentral:rRNA from 1 species
UUCCUACGGGAGGCAGCAGUGGGGAAUUUUGGACAAUGGGCGAAAGCCUGAUCCAGCAAUGCCGCGUGCAGGAUGAAGGCCCUCGGGUUGUAAACUGCUUUUGUACGGAACGAAAAGCCUGGGGCUAAUAUCCCCGGGUCAUGACGGUACCGUAAGAAUAAGCACCGGCUAACUACGUGCCAGCAGCCGCGGUAAUACGUAGGGUGCAAGCGUUAAUCGGAAUUACUGGGCGUAAAACGUGCGCAGGCGGUUUUGUAAGGCAGUGGUGAAAUCCCCGGGCUCAACCUGGGAACUGCCAUUGUGACUGCAAAGCUAGAGUGCGGCAGAGGGGGAUGGAAUUCCGCGUGUAGCAGUGAAAUGCGUGGAUAUGCGGAGGAACACCGAUGGCGAAGGCAAUCCCCUGGGCCUGCAUUGACGCUCAUGCACGAAAGCGUGGGGAGCAAACAGGAUUAGAUACCCUGGUAGUCCACGCCCUAAACGAUGUCAACUGGUUGUUGGGUCUUAACUGACUCAGUAACGAAGCUAACGCGUGAAGUUGACCGCCUGGGGAGUACGGCCGCAAGGUUGAAACUCAAAUGAAUUGACGG